rnacentral:rRNA from 1 species
AUGUAUCGUUUUACUCUGUCGUUUAUUCAGUAUCUUGCUGAGUAUUGUCCUCGGGCGUGUAAUCAUGUUGCUCACUGGUUAGAAGCUAAGAGUGAAAGGGGGUGUCAUGGAUACCAUACUUUGUGGUUGACGACCUACCUUGAUGAUGUAACCUGUCUGACGGCCGGCGAUCUCGCCGUGUCUUUGGAAUACAAAUGUUCCAUCCAUCCAAAAAAAGGAGUAUACAUGACAACUUCACGUGCGUGUGGAACCUUUGCUCGCCGGUUACAUAAGAGGAAGACCCCCUCGCUCGCCUUCAAGCUCAAUAUCCGCAAGGCUUUUGACUCUGUCAAAUGGGAGUACAUCUUAAAUCUUCUCCAAAAGCAUGGAUUUCCAAGCAAAUUUCGCGAUUGCGUUACCACUCUUCUCAGCGCACAAUCCUCACGGAUCCUUCUCAAUGGUGUGGCCGGCCCUCCCAUCAAGAAUGGUCAAGGGGACCCCCUCUCCCCCCUGCUUUUUGUUAUUGCGAUUGACCCCCUGCAACAAAUGCUCGAACUGGCAACUAAGAAGGCAAGAUCCGAGGGAGAUGCAUCAUGGUGA